UCCUCACAAUGACCUGUGUAUUUUCCUGAUGGACUUUCCUGUUCCAGCAGAGGCAGGGCUGGGCCGUUUCCAUCCCUGUCUUUACUUCGUGUUGCAUUGAGUAGUAAUGACUUGUUUCCUUACUGAAAAUAUGAAUCUGGAUAUGAAUUUGUUCUUUCUAAUUCUUGUCAUAAGGGAUUGAUGUGUUAAUAAUUAAAGGAGAAAUCUUCUAAAGUUUGAGAGAGAAAAUAAAUGGAAGCACUGAGAACCUUCCAGAAUUCAUGUGUUUGCUGUGCUGACAACAAUAAAACAGAAAUGAAGUCACCAAAGCC